UCUCUUUCUUCACCAGCUCUCUAUGAGUUGCUGUCCAACACCUGAUGAUCGUCACGGACGUGGUAUGACUUCUGACUAGCAUAUUAUUUUAAUAUCUAUUUGCUAGAGUCAUAUUUGGUAUUCAAAUCAUUACCUCUUAUGAUACAAGGCACACACAAUUCAACUAUCUGUGCUGUGAUACCAUGAUUAUAUUAUAUGUGGACUAACGUCACUUGUGCAAGAUAAUUGCUAAGUGAAUGCAGAUUAGUGAUAUGAUGAGUUUGUUGGAAAGUUGCAAUUCUUUAUGGUCUACUAGUUAGCCUAAAGAAUGAUGGCAAUAAAAGGAAGUCAAGGAUCUUUUGAAUAUGCG
rnacentral:lncRNA from 1 species